UUGUGAUGAUGGUAUUUCUGUAUUUGUGUGGUGACGUAUCAUUAUUUAUGGAUUCUUCGAAUUCUCAGAAAACAGUAGUACAUGUGUAUUAUUUUAUUUUUAGAAAGCCAUUUUAGCAAAGAUGAGAGUAGAUAUCUGAAAAGGCUUAUAGUACUAUAUAUAUACAUAUCUAAAUUGGUAUAUUUUGGUAUUUCUGGGUGUUAAUCACUUACUAAAAGGAAAAAGAAAGUGAUAUAUGAUGCAUUACAUCUAGAAAUGAGCAUGAUGCAUCAAAUAGGAUUUCUUGACAGAUGAUAUAGGUGAACCAGACCUUUUAGAGAGAUGUUCACGACAAGUUGAAUUAGAAGGCAUGACGGUACAAAAGGAGCGAUCUUCCAUUUUGAAGGAUUGGAAAGAACUGCUAUGUAGGGAAAUGGGAGGUUAGGCUUCAGAAUUCUGCUGGCUAGAUCACUCCCAAGAAAAUUAACUUGAACCUCGAUCAGAAGAAAAUGGCACCUAGAUACAUUUAGUAUGGCGUUGGAGUUGAAAAGGUGAUGGGAUGCUACUUUGACAGACAAGGAGCACCCUUUUGUGUAGGGAAUUGGGAGGUUAUGUUUCAAAGAUUGCUGGCUACACUCCCCAAGACAAGAUGGCCCUCAGACAAGAAAAUAGCACCAGCAAUAUGUACAGCUAACACUGAGCCUUCAUUUAGAAUAGUUUUGGUUAAGCUGAUCGAGUGUUGCUAUGACUCCCAUUGUGUGUAAUUAAUAAAGUGUGUUAAAUGAAGAAUGCAGAAAAGAGAAUUAGGCGCCCUUACAUUGAUACUGAGAGUUUGGUUCAAUGGAUUGCUAAUGUUGGUCACCUUCUGCUGCGGGUGUAGUAUGGCAUUCUUUCAAUAUACUAAGUUCUGCUGGUAAUUUAUUAUAUGAUGUCAAUUUGUAAAAAAAUAUUGGUGAUGAGGUUUG